GGGCUGGAGAGAGGUUCAGUCUCAGGCACAGUUUUGGGAGGCAGAUCAGCCUCCCUGUUCCGGCCUCCCACUCCCAUGGAGCUCUCUGCUGCCUCUUCCAAGGGGCCGCAGAUACCCGUUCCUUGCUCUAUUUCUUCACCAGCCCUACCUGUUCUCAGUCCAUUACCUCAUGGCCCUGCUCUCUGCUUACUAAAGUGACAAUUCGUCUAUAAGGAAGCCCUUGCACUGUAGCUGAGGAUUCGCGAGGCUGCACCCUCAGCAGGCACUGUGGCCACACAGCACUGGCCUGAGAUCUGAGUUCCUGGAGCCUCGGCCCUGAGGCCCAUGAGUCGGGGUCUCACUGUCUUACCUGGGCUGGUCUCAAUCUCCU
rnacentral:lncRNA from 1 species